rnacentral:pre_miRNA from 1 species
AGUAAAAUUUCUGGGUCAUGUGGUAACUCUAUUUAACUUUUUAGGGAUUGCCAUGCUGUUUUCCAAAGUGGCUGUACCAUUUCACAUCCCCACCAGCAGU